AAAUUGAAGAGUUUGAUCAUGGCUCAGAUUGAACGCUGGCGGCAGGCCUAACACAUGCAAGUCGAACGGUAACAGGAAGCAGCUUGCUGCUUUGCUGACGAGUGGCGGACGGGUGAGUAAUGUCUGGGAAACUGCCUGAUGGAGGGGGAUAACUACUGGAAACGGUGGCUAAUACCGCAUAACGUCGCAAGACCAAAGAGGGGGACCUUCGGGCCUCUUGCCAUCAGAUGUGCCCAGAUGGGAUUAGCUUGUUGGUGAGGUAACGGCUCACCAAGG
rnacentral:rRNA from 2 species